rnacentral:rRNA from 1 species
GUAAGGAAUAUUGGUCAAUGGAGGCAACUCUGAACCAGCCAUGCCGCGUGCAGGAAGACGGCCCUCUGGGUUGUAAACUGCUUUUAUCCGGGAAUAAACCUGCCUUCGUGAAGGUAGCUGAAUGUACCGGAAGAAUAAGGAUCGGCUAACUCCGUGCCAGCAGCCGCGGUAAUACGGAGGAUCCAAGCAUUAUCCGGAUUUAUUGGGUUUAAAGGGUGCGUAGGCGGCCUGUUAAGUCAGGGGUGAAAGACGGUGGCUCAACCAUCGCAGUGCCCUUGAUACUGAUGGGCUUGAAUGGACUAGAGGUAGGCGGAAUGUGACAAGUAGCGGUGAAAUGCAUAGAUAUGUCACAGAACACCGAUUGCGAAGGCAGCUUACUAUGGUCCUAUUGACGCUGAGGCACGAAAGCGUGGGGAUCGAACAGGAUUAGAUACCCCAGUAGUCC